rnacentral:tRNA from 1 species
CCGACCUUAGCUCAGUUGGUAGAGCGGAGGAUUGUAGAUCCUUAGGUCGCUGUUCGAAUUCGGCAGGUUGGA